rnacentral:rRNA from 1 species
UACGUAGGGUGCAAGCGUUGUCCGGAAUUAUUGGGCGUAAAGAGCUCGUAGGCGGUUUGUCGCGUCUGCUGUGAAAACCCGAGGCUCAACCUCGGGCCUGCAGUGGGUACGGGCAGACUAGAGUGCGGUAGGGGAGAUUGGAAUUCCUGGUGUAGCGGUGGAAUGCGCAGAUAUCAGGAGGAACACCGAUGGCGAAAGCGGCUCACUGGACCACAACUGACGCUGAGGAGCGAAAGCAUGGGGAGCGAACAGG